UGCUGUGGUAAAAUCCACGAUGGAAAAGCAAU
rnacentral:piRNA from 1 species